ACCCCCAAACAAUCCCGUAGCCUCACAUCCACUCGCGUGAACCCUACCCGGCCCCGACCCUGCCCACAAUUUCUGCCGCCGCCGCCGUUCUCGGGGUCUCCGUCCGGACCCGUCCCUGCCGCCAUCAGCGCCCAUAGCCCCGAGGUCCCGGACCCCUCCAUCGCCUGCCUUUUCCCGGCCCCUUCGCUGCCACAACAUGGGCAUCUUCGCUGGCCCGAGUUUCCACCGAUGGCUGUGACCAUAUCCCAGAUCCCCUAACCCCAUCCACUCAUGCCUUCCCCGGUGCUGUGGCCAAGGGCAGCUCCGUCCGCCCGGACCUUCACAAACCACCACUAGCCCUCAAGAAGGACCAAGUCAGCGCCCUCCUCUUCCUCCUCUAAGGAAAAGAUCUCGUCUCCAACAAGCUCGGCGACGCCGCCACCAAUGGCGCGAUGUCUCAUGAAAGGUUGUUCCCAUGUGUUGACAUAAAUAACUAUGGUCGUUCCCAUGUGUUUGGCCAAUCUGAAUAGCAGAACAAAAACCUUGUGCUAGAGGCAUGCCGCUGGCACCGCUGGGCCCUCACUGAUCUUAUACAAGCCAUUUGAGGAUAUGCCGUGUCAAGAUUCUAUGAUUGGUCUUCUUGGUUUGACAUCCAAUUCAAAAAUCUGUUCACUUCCCUGGAGCAGUCAUAGAGGCAGUGGUAGAGCGUGACAAGCAACCAAGUGGCACCAAAUUCAAACUAAAAGAAAAAUAUGUGUGAUAAAUUGAAAACAGAUGCAGCAGCAAGCCGCCGGUGAUGAUCGGUGGCACACAAUACGACAGGAGCAUUAGAUGACGAGAAGGGCAACAUCAGUGCUGGCGUGCAGAUGUAGCAGCAAGCUGCUGGUGAUGAUCGGUGGCGCACAAUAUGGCAGGAAAAUGAGAUGACGAGAAGGGCAUUAGCAGUGCUGGCAUGCAGAUGCAACAACAAGCCGCUGGUGAUUAUCGGUGGCGUACAAUACGACAUGCAUCAACAUUGGUGGCGUGCAGAUGCAGCAGCAAGCCUUCAGUGAUGCUUAGUGGGGCGCAGCAUGACAUGAUAAAUGGAUGGCAGAGAAGGUGGCAUCACUCCCCUGUUUGUCUUCCAUGAGCCUCCGCUAGUGCAUAGAGGUACAUAGCCACCUAGCGCUUGGAUGUGAGGACUUGGAGUGUCAUGGAACAUUUGGUUGUUUGCCAUAUUUUGGAUUAGCCUACUUCCAUUGUAUCAUUAAUCUUAUGUGUGUUUUGGACCAUUUGGUGCUUCAAGUCUUUUGGAUUAGAAACUUUGUGCUCAUGGAUGUAAUUUGUCUGUGAACCCUUUCAGACUAGCAAAUAGUGGUCCUUAUGUCACUUGUGUAUUCUAGAUGGUCAUACUAUGAUUAUUGUUGUGUUUGUGAACCUGUGUGAGUAUAUAUGUAUGAUUUUUAACUUGUCAUCA